AGGUCCCCUCCCUCCCUCCUUCCCGGUCCCCACCCUCGCUCGCUCCCAGCCAGCUCCCGCUCGCUCCCUGCCCACUCCCGGGGGGACGAUCCGUGCCGCGGCCGCCGCGGCCACCGCUUCUUUCACACUUUAGUUGGGAGCUGCGCGCCGCGCUCAGUUACUGGAGAGCUGGCCGCGCGCCGCCGCCUCCUGCACGAACGCACGCGGGCCCGGCUUCGGGGUUUUCUGCUGUUACUCCAAGCGGCGGGGAGGAGGGGGAGACCCGGACACACUGUGGGGAGGAGGAGGAAGAGGAGGAGGAGGGAGGAAGAAAAAAGGCGAGCAGGCAAGGGGCGGGGGGCGGGAGGCUUGCCACCUUCAGCCCCCCCGCGAGCGCCCAAGGUAAGCGGGAGCCAUCGCCAGUCAGCCCUGGGG
rnacentral:lncRNA from 1 species